rnacentral:rRNA from 1 species
GACGAACGCUGGCGGCGUGCUUAACACAUGCAAGUCGAACGGAAAGGCCCUGCUUUUGUGGGGUGCUCGAGUGGCGAACGGGUGAGUAACACGUGAGUAACCUGCCCUUGACUUUGGGAUAACUUCAGGAAACUGGGGCUAAUACCGGAUAGGAGCUCCUGCUGCAUGGUGGGGGUUGGAAAGUUUCGGCGGUUGGGGAUGGACUCGCGGCUUAUCAGCUUGUUGGUGGGGUAGUGGCUUACCAAGGCUUUGACGGGUAGCCGGCCUGAGAGGGUGACCGGCCACAUUGGGACUGAGAUACGGCCCAGACUACUACGGGAGGCAGCAGUGGGGAAUAUUGCACAAGGGGCGGAAGCCUGAUGCAGCAACGCCGCGUGCGGGAUGACGGCCUUCGGGUUGUAAACCGCUUUCGCCUGUGACGAAGCGUGAGUGACGGUAAUGGGUAAAGAAGCACCGGCUAACUACGUG